UUUAUUGGAGAGUUUGAUCCUGGCUCAGGACGAACGCUGGCGGCGUGCCUAAUACAUGCAAGUCGAGCGGACUUGAGGGAGCUUGCUCCCGAUGGUCAGCGGCGGACGGGUGAGUAACACGUGGGCAACCUGCCUGUAAGACUGGGAUAACUCCGGGAAACCGGGGCUAAUACCGGAUAAUUCAUUCCCUCACAUGAGGGAAUGCUGAAAGACGGCUUUUGCUGUCACUUACAGAUGGGCCCGCGGCGCAUUAGCUAGUUGGUGAGGUAACGGCUCACCAAGGCCACGAUGCGUAGCCGACCUGAGAGGGUGAUCGGCCACACUGGGACUGAGACACGGCCCAGACUCCUACGGGAGGCAGCAGUAGGGAAUCUUCCGCAAUGGACGAAAGUCUGACGGAGCAACGCCGCGUGAGCGAAGAAGGCCUUCGGGUCGUAAAGCUCUGUUGUCAGGGAAGAACAAGUACCGGAGUAACUGCCGGUACCUUGACGGUACCUGACCAGAAAGCCACGGCUAACUACGUGCCAGCAGCCGCGGUAAUACGUAGGU
rnacentral:rRNA from 2 species